AGCAUCUGCAUAUCUCACAAGUGUCUCUAACUCCAGUCCCAGGGCAUAGAGUGCCUUCUUCUGGCCUCUGAGGGCACCUGACAUAUACAAGGUACACGGGUACCUAGUCAGAAAAAUGCCUAUACACAUAAAAUAAAUACACUUUGUAAAUAAAUAUUAAAUAAAUAUUAAAAAUUUAAAAAUCCCCCAUAUCUGAUUAUCACUGAUAGAGAUAGAAAGCAAUGUAGAAACCUAAAUAGAGUUGUUUGGUUAAAGCACGGGCAAGAUUUUUAGAACACUUGGACCAUGGAGUCCCUUAUUAUUGAAGUCAGGUUUUCCACCACUGGGGGUAACAACAGGUGGGCUGACUUCUGCCUAGUCCACCAGUGCCCAAUUUAGCAGGGGCAGCUGCCUCCUGUCCUCUGCCUAGCACAUGGUCACCAUUCCUGGUAACUACAAGGAGCCCGUGUGCUGUCUUCCUACGCAUGCUCAGUGGUCUCUCUGGUGUGAUCUGGAGGCUCCUAGCUCAGGCACCUUGUACUGUACCCACCCACCUCCAUACUGGAGCCAUUUUGUUAAAAUGCCUUGUCUUGAACUCUUGCAUAAAGGCGGAUUAUUUUGUCAUUGUUUUUGCUUGUCAGGGUGAUAGAAAGGACUUACUUAGUCUGAUCUUACUCAGAGAGCCUGAAUCAAUUUUCUGAGCAAAACUCAAGGGCCAUGGAGUUUGGGAGAUACAAGGGCCACAUUUAGAAACUGGGCUCGUUAGACCAGGAGGCCUCGUGCAGCGGCAGAGCUAGCCCGUCCUUUUAGUGAAGAGCUUUCUGUGAGUGGAAUGCUAUAAUCUAUUUGGUUCAUGCUGUUCCAACCAGCUUUAAUCAUCAAAACUGGAAAAAUAUUCCAACUGCGAAAGGAGCAAAGCUCUUGCCGAAGCCUCGAUGUGCCACAGGGACACGCCAGAGCCUCUCAAUCCACCCGUCCACGCAGCAUGCUGUCAAAAAGGAGUGAGUGUGUGGAUCACUUCGUGCCGUGUGAGGCAGCUGGCUUUUUCCACAGUGAAAUGGCACAAAGACUUAACAGUUCCUCUUCCCCCAAAGGAGAAAAAUGGUUUUCCUGGAAACCAUGUUUGAAGAAGUCACGUUUCGCUCUAUAUCGUCUUCAUCUCUCUUGUGACAGGGAGGGGGUUUCCUCACCAGCCCCAGGUGUCUGGCUAUGUCUGCACUGAUAGCCCCAGUGUCAGAUGGUAUAGCAUACAGAGCUCCCAGGAGAGAAGAGAUUUGGCUGCGAGGCUGGUGGCACCACGGACUAGGGUACAGAAAAGAAGGAAGCGGGCAGACCGGUGUAUCCAAAGCAGCCCUUGUUGCUGUCUGGCUGAGAUAAAGAUAUAUCAUCUCCAAAUUGGCUGUGAGCUGUGUCCUCAGGCAAGGUUUGCAGCCCUGGGUUCUAGCUGAGGACGGUGAUGAGCUCAUAUCUUGAUUGUUGCUCCUGAUGGGCUCUCCCUCCAAUGCAUAAGAGACUGUGGUGGGCUCUCCUUCCAAUCCAUGAGAGACCAGGGCAUUCCAGAACCCUGACCCUGAUCUGGUUCUCACCUAAGAAUUUAAAAUUGCAAUUCAAUAUAGCAGAAACUACC
rnacentral:lncRNA from 1 species